rnacentral:rRNA from 1 species
GACGAACGCUGGCGGCGUGCCUAACACAUGCAAGUCGAACGAGACCGUCGUGUCUAGUGGCGCACGGGGGCUUACCGCGUGGGGAGCAGCCCUUAGGUACGGUAUAAUUUACCGUGAGGGGUGCUAACGACGGUUAGUGUAAUCCGAGCAAAGAUUUCCCGCUGUGGGAUGGGGCCGCGUUAGAUUAGUUAGUUGGUAGGGUAAUAGCCUACCAAGACGACGAUCGUUAGCUGGUGUGAGAGGAUGAUUAGUCAGAGUGGGACUGAGACACGGACCAGACUCCUACGGGAGGCAGCAGUGGGGAAUAUUAGACAAUGGGCGAAAGCCUGAUCGAGCAACGCCGCGUGAGUGAUGAAGGCCUUAGGGUUGUACAGUUCUUUUACACGGGAUGAUAAUGACAGUAACGGGUGAAUAAGCACCGGCUAACUACGUG